CACUGGGUGGGGGUUCUUUCAAAAACUGGGAGCUGUAUUUAGCAAAGGUCACCUAGUUAAUUAACACCCAGGGCUCCACCAACAGAGCAGGCCCUGCCCCGUCUGGGCCCCUGCAUACAGUAGAUGGAGACAAAGUCCCACUGGUGCAUGUCAGAGGUUUGUUAGGAAAGACUGUUUGGUUUAAUUCUGCCUCCAGUAAAGACAAACCCAUCUGUGGGAUUGUCUUUGCUCAGGGACCAGGUUGCACAUGGUGGAUAAUGCAGAAAGAUGGAACAACGUGAUGUGUACUGCAGGGAGAUCUGAUACUGGGUGAGAACCAUGUGUAAAUAUCACUGUUUGCUGAAUGUCACUAUGACUAUCUGUAUAUAGCUGUAUAUAUGUAUGUAUAAAUAUGUGUGUGUAGAAUUGGAUUAUAUUAAUUUGGGCAUAAAGCUAACAACAUGGAAUAAGAGGUGGAAUGUCCCUGGGUGACUGUAUGGUCUUGUAUCCCCUAUCGGCUGCUCUUUGCCCAGACAAGAGUCCUGUAGCUUUAAGUUUGAAGCAUGGCAGGGGGAAAGGCAGUGGAAUUCUUCCGGCACCUAUGCUCCAAAUAUGGAUAACUAGCUUGGUUUUUUUUUCCCUGUGGGUCUUGGCUCUUUUGUUCUCUGGAGGGAGACAGGGAGCUUUUCUUUGCUUUUUAGCUAGUUUGUUUUUCAGUUGGCUGAAGCAAGAAGUUCUUCCUGAGACUGUGGUUUCCUCCUCCUGGAACUGUUCAGCUUUUCUCCGGUCUGUACCAUCAGAACAUUGCCAGGGGCCCCCCAUGCCACGGCCCAGAGGCCAGCUCUGGAUCCUGGAGGGAGCUGAGCCACAUCUACAGAAAGGUCUCUGAAUCUACCAGCUCUUCUUUGCAACUUCAAUGAUCUCUUUGUACCUCCGGCGGAAGAAGCCCAUCUGCAAAUCAGAAGAGAUGACAGUGUCUCUUUCAGGUUUUGCCUACCACUGAAUCAGCUGUGCAAACCGCAGAGCAAGGAUGGACUUGUCAACAGAAUUAAAGGCCCGGUGGAAGAACCCAAAGAAUAUACUAUAACAUCCAGACUGAGUGAGACAAGACUGACCCUUAAGCGGAGACCAAGAUAUAACCAGAGAAGCACCAAGAUGUCUGAAAAGUAGAGUCCGGCUUCCACCAGCCAGCUCAAGAAUUAAGCAACACUUUAGGCAAGGAAUUUGAACCAUAUCAGUUAUUGAUGUAGUUGUCCUAUUUUACUGGAUGGGGUCUGCAAGUAUCUGUUGAGCGGAAGCACACAGGGAACAGUGAGAGGUGCUGGGGUGGUUUACUUAGGACAAGUGGUGUAAGACAAGAACCAGAGGGCAGGACCGGGUUGGCCCGUGUGUCCAUCACCGAGAAGAUUAUAUAGCUCUGCUGUAGGCAGCAACCCUGUAGGCACGGUAAGGUGGGGACAAGUAAGCUAUACUGGGCCUCUAUAGUUUCUCUAUUGUCUUUUCCCUCCAAAAUCUGAUAUGGGUACAAUUGACAAGUGGACUACAACAGGGACUAGAGGGCAAGAUUGAGUUGGCCUCUGUACUUGCCACUGAGAUACAUCUGCUAUGGGUGGCAACCCCAUGGGCAUGGUAGAUGGGGGUAAAAAGCCAUACUGGACCUCUGUAACUCCCUUUUGUCUGCUCUAACUAAUUCCACCAAUCAUUGUGCUUAAAACCUGAGGGUUUUUUCUCCAGUUCCUUCUGUUCUCACCCACAUCAAAAGACGCUAUUAUGACUCAUCCAAAAUUUAAUUUUGACUCAAGGGAAGUAGGAGUGGAUCAUCGAAAAUGAAUUAAUUGCUCAAGCAAAAUGACUUAUAAAAAAGAAAAAGAGGGGUUUGUUAUAGAUAGGUAAUGCGAUGGUUGGCUCUCACAAUUAAGGGAUCAAUAUUAUGUGUAUGUUAAGAGGAGUUUUAUUGAUGUAUAGUUAAGUUAUUGUGAUAUGUCCUCCCAUAGCUCUCUUUCCCCUUCCCCCAAGAUGGUCUUGGUAGCCGGGGCAUUUGGAGGGAGGGGCAUUUUUUACUAGGAGGCACAGCAUGGCAACACCUGACCUCCAAUCAAGUUGCAAGAAAGUGAUCUCCACUAAUGGACAGUGAAGAAGAGUUUACUGGCAGACUUUGGGGGAGGUUAGGGUUACCUGAUGCAACACCAAGAGUAUAAAAAGGUGGAGCAGCCAUUUUGUGAGUGAGCAUGUGGCAGUUCAGUUCCAUGCUCCCAGCACUGUUCUUUCGCCUUAUUCAGUCUUUUGUUGUAUUUUGUUGCGGUUUAAUAAACCUUUGAAGUUUUAAAAGUGAGCAUUGCUUUUCACAAUCAUGAAUACUGUCCAGUACCACAGGCUGCUCCUUUCAAAACAGACAUGGAGAACAGGCCCAAGUCAGGAGUUCUCCCUGCUGCAGGCAGACAGCUAAAGCUUAGGUACAUGAAUAUACAUUUAAAUCUCUUUGCAUAGAGAUAUGCAUAUAAAGACACCUUCCAAGUCUUCACAACCAUAAACUUACUUUUUGAAAGUCUUUUUUGCCUUCUUUUUUCCCCCAAAAUAUAUUUUAUCAUUGCAUAUCUAAAUUCUGAGCAGAAAAAAAUCAUGGAGGAAAACCACUUGCCCAUGUUGCAUUAUCUUGGUUUAAGACAAUUUAACAGGAACACUCUACAAUGAUUUCUCCCCUUAGUUUUAACCAAUCCCUACCCACCAAUAAGAAGAAACUGAAACUAGUAGAUGUAAGUGAAAAAAUACCAGUUUACUAGCAAGCAAAACAGCAACAGGCAAAAAACCACCAAAAAACAAAACCAAACAAACAACAAACAAACAAACAAAAAAAACAAACAAAAAAGUAAACAAACACUAGAUACAAAAUUGCUUAAUUUCAGAGACCCCCACCAAAGAGAAACUUGAAUUUGCAGAGUGGCCCAUCCUACGAUGCUGGCUACCACAGCUGAGAGUGUGGUUCUAAAGACAAAGGGAAAAUGGCAGCAAACCCUCCCACAAAGGUUACUUAUGAAGCAGCUCUAGCGGCAGAUAGGAAUUGCUGGUGUAUGUGGGAUCAGUGUUGCCGCUUGCUGCCACCUCCUGGACUCUGCCAGUUUUGGUGUUGCUGCCUUGGGUCCCUACUCAAAUGGAAGAGGAGAGAAGGAAAGAACAGACUUUCUGCACUAAUGGGCUGUGGCCUGGCACCAGACCAGCUCUGGCUUAGUGCUGGCCGCAGAUGUUGCAAAAUUCACUCUGAAUUUUUGAUUGCAAAAUGUAAGUUCUCCCCUUGCUACUGUUGCAAGUAGAGGCAAGAAAAGGCCAAGAGUCAAGACAAACAGGGAGAGAGAUGGAGUCGGGCCUGAGUGCCCCAAAUUUUAAAAAGCCCUGGGCACGACCUCUCCAUUCUGGUUUCUGGCUUAAGGGUUUUAAAGAGACAGUAACAACUUUGGGCAUAGGGGAUAGAGUAACAUUUUGGGUUAGCCAGAUAUACAUUAAACCUGAGCUGGACAUAAAUGAACAGUGAACUCUAUCCAGAAGGCAGGAAAGGUUCAAAGGCUUGAUGGAGUAUACCUAUACUUAGUGGACAGCACCAGACAGUAGCCUGAAGCUCUACAGGUCACUGUGUUGCAGGACUUACAUACAUUUUAUCUGGAGUUGCCUUUUCAAGCAGUCGGCUUUGCAUUCCCUCACUUUCAAAAAAGGAAGACUCAGAGGCACUUGGAUAGUUUUGUUGUAGUAAAAUCAAGUUAAUUCUUCCUUCCACACUUCCAAAGGCAGUCCUUUUGCUCCUUCUCUUCCUGCAUACAAGCAGUGAGCAGAAAAUGUGGACUCCUCAAUCUAGUAUUUGACUACUUGUUCUCUUGGAACUUAUUGUUGGUUUUGCUCACAGACUGAGAAGACGAGAGCCAAACCUUCACGUAAACUCGUAUGAUGAAGAAAAUAAAGUAUACCUCCUGAAAAUAUGACUAUUUCAGACAAUAUAUACGUAUGCUAAUACCACUGUCAUCACAGAGCCAAAUCCAAACUCUAAUCACCUUCUUCAUGUGAUUUGUCUAAGAGCUCAAACAGCCUGUUGUAACCAGAGCCAAAAAAAUAUAAUUAUAAAUCACAUAAAAUCAUAUCCAAAUCCAGAUAAAUUAUUCCUGAGAAUUGCAUAAAUGCCUAUUUUUAAAAAAAUGGGUUAAUGUCAAAGACAGCCUGCUACCCAACUUACAGAUACUCACAUACACUUUUGCACCUCCCUUACAAAUUGUCUAUUGAAGUUUCUGACAGAAUUGGUGUUUAUAUGGGUGGUCCACUGGUAUUUCUUAUACUAUCAUAAAAAAUAUCAGCCUUCCUUUUCCAUUUGUCUUUUGUCUCCAUUUAUCUUCUUUACAGAGAGUUUGCAUUUUGAUACUGUACACUAUAAUGUAAAAGUGGCAAUUGAAAUAAUGGUACCUGGUCCAAAAGAACCAUUUAAAUGUGAUAAUAAGUCCACAUUUACCCAUAGAAAGCAAUGCUGAAGCUGGCAUAUGGAAAUACCAUAAAGCAGAGAGGAAAUGGCACUCAUAUGAGAAAAGACUUGAAACUACAGAUUAAUGUUACAUGGCUACAACAUGUCAAGCUUGCACUUUUACAGCUAGGGCUUCCCAGGAACUGGAAGCAAGCUCAUUUGAAGAUUAAGAUACCUUCCCAACACACAUAGUGCACUUCAUAAUGCAACUCAAGCCUUGAUAAAAGGUUUUCUGAGAAUAGGAAAAGGACAAUAUCUUUUUUUUGCUUAAUGUGAUAAAUGACAUGGGAUAAUUUGUGUUUAUUGUAUAUAUAAAAUGUAAAUUAAGAAAUAUUCUGUAAAAUAAAUGAGAAAGUUGGUCGGGCUUGGGACAGACGGAUUUUUGGGAUGGACAACUGCCUCUGCCAGGAAUUUGGGAUGAACAAUACCCCUGUCGGGAAACCGGGAAAUACAAAAUUAACAAUAGAAAAGAAGGUGGAUCUGGAGACAGAUGGGCCUUCUUGGACGGUGGAACUGUGAAGGAUCCAGCCAUUAGGAUCGAUAUGGAUCUUGCUCCACCAUCUGGGAGACGCCUCUCCAUUCAUGAUUCUGAGAAACUGAAUUAACAUUCAUUCUCCCUCAGAAGAACCAUUCAACCAACAUUCAACCGAACAGACAGCGGAGAGGAACUCCCAUGAAUAUGAAGGACAAGACAAAAGACAAAGAAGAUGUGGAAAAAUACUCUGCCCCCAGCUAAAUAAACUGUAUAUAAGGAAACCCCGAAAAGACUGGAUUUGUGAACGGGGGAGUUACGGUGCACUAGAGGCCGUAGCUAAGGUUCACACAGUGCCAAUCCCGGGACUCGACACUGAACUUCCGAUUGUUGGCUGACUCUAAAUUUUGUUUUGUUAAUUCUUGAUAAUUAAUACAAGUAUUUAUUAAUUUCAAAUUGGCUAAACAUUUAUAACAAUCUUAUUUUCAUUCUUCGCUAAGCAUUGGCUAACAAUGAAAUACAGCAGAGCUUGCAUUCCUAGAAAAAAGCAUUUCUAAAUGUUGAACAUUAAAAAAUAGCAAUCUUACAAAUUUUACAGUGUGCCUAUCAUUCUAAGAUUUUCUAAAACCUUCUACAGUUGAAAGUAUUUGUCAUAAAGAUACUGUCUUCUUCUAUUUCAGCUGGGGCAUGGGUAUAACACGGGUAUAACAGUCCGUUGUUACUUCAGUGAUUAAUGAUAUUUUGCCAUACAAUUACAAGAUGUAUUCUGUGCAUGCUGCAGAACUAAGGAGAGGCCAGGCAAUGUAUUAACACUGAAGACUGCAGGCCACUUAUAAGGCACAUUCCCAGUAAUGCCUAACUAUAUUUUUCAUUUUAACUUCCAAGUCUAUUGUAUAGAAUGGUACAGAAACCUGACAAAGAAAAUAAAACAGAAGCGAAAAAAGAAGUUCCUGUCAUAUAAAAGAAUUCCUUUCUCUGACAGGUCUAAUGAAAUAGAAAUUCAAGACUACAGUUACAAACAUGAUUGUUGAGGGAUACAUCUGGUGCAAGUAGCUGGGUUUGCAAGCUGGAGACUGAGAUGCCAAUUUAAAUGCAGGUUGAGCCCUUUGUAGGAGUCCAAGACAAGAGGCUGUGAACUGUGUGGUCCCAGCCAGGUGAAUUGACAAUGAGACACAGCAGGAGCAGUGAACUGCCAGACUUUUGGAUAACAAAAGGCAGGAAGACCAAUGGCACCAAAAAGUAGGGUCCACAGCAGGAGCAGAGGACUCCAGGAGGAAGAGGGAGAUCAACACAAAAUGUGGUAUCAGCCCAUAUUGAUUUUUACCAGCUCAGUACAAGAAAAAAAAGUUAAAUGAAUUUCUGAAAGUUUAGACAUGCUUUUGCAUUUUCACAGCUCCCAAAAUAUCAUUAACACUUCUAAAUAUUUCAUUCUGGCAUAUGUGAAAAAAGACAUUGCUGAGGUUUCAAGUCUCUUCUAGGUUUUCAAGGGAAAUUUGAAUUAGAUUAAGGCAAAUAGUAACCCUAAAUCAGGAGGCUAAACCAAAUUUUUGCAUUAAUACCUAAGGGUAUUUUAGCUAGUACAACACAGAUCACUGGUUCGAUAUAACAUCAUUCACUCUGUUGACAUGGUUAUUACAGAGAGCCAGGUGACAAAAACACAGUUCCCAGUACUGUUAGUCCAGUCAGACAAAGUCUGGGCACUCUUGUGGGCCAGCCUAGGCACAAAUUCCAGUUUGUAUAGAGCUCUCAAUGAUUUUCAGCCCACGGGGAUAAGGAAAUAUUUCUCUUCAGGUU